GCCGCCUUAGCUCAGCUGGUAGAGCAACGGUUUUGUAAACCGUAGGUCGCCGGUUCGAUCCCGGCAGGCGGCUCCA
rnacentral:tRNA from 1 species